rfam:TPA: Bos taurus chromosome 9, whole genome shotgun sequence.
UCUCUGGUGGUCCAGUGGUUAAGACUCUGCGCUCCCAAUGCAGGGGGCCUGGGUUCCAUCCCUGGCCAGAGAA